UACAGAGGUCUCAAGCGUUGUUCGGAUUCAUUGGGCGUAAAGGGUGCGUAGGCGGCGCGGUAAGUCGGGUGUGAAAUCUCGGGGCUUAACUCCGAAACUGCAUUCGAUACUGCCGUGCUUGAGGACUGGAGAGGAGACUGGAAUUUACGGUGUAGCGGUGAAAUGCGUAGAUAUCGUAAGGAAGACCAGUGGCGAAGGCGGGGCUCUGGACAGUUCCUGACGCUGAGGCACGAAGGCCAGGGGAGCAAACGGG
rnacentral:rRNA from 1 species